rnacentral:rRNA from 1 species
AGAGUUUGAUCCUGGCUCAGAACGAACGCCAGCGGCGUGGAUUAGGCAUGCAAGUCGAACGUGAUCCGUAGCAAUACGGUGAAAGUGGCGGAAGGGUGAGUAAUGCAUAGAUAACCUACCUCCAAGUCUGGGAUAACUCCGGGAAACUGGAGCUAAUACCGGAUGGGGUCGCGGGGGAGCAUUUUUCUGCGACUAAAGGC